CAUGCUGAAUAUACCGGUUCUCGUUAGAUCACCGAAGUCAAGCAGCAUUGGGCGCGGUCAGUACUUGGGUGGGUGACCACUUCAAGAACACCGCGUGCCGU
rnacentral:rRNA from 1 species